UCAGGAUGAACGCUAGCUACAGGCUUAACACAUGCAAGUCGAGGGGCAGCAUGACGAUAGCUUGCUAUUGUUGAUGGCGACCGGCGCACGGGUGAGUAACGCGUAUCCAACCUGCCCUUGUCCAUCGGAUAACCCGUCGAAAGGCGGCCUAACACGAUAUGCAGUCCACAGAAGGCAUCUGACGCGGACGAAAUGUGAAGGAGAAGGAUGGGGAUGCGUCUGAUUAGCUUGUUGGCGGGGUAACGGUCCACCAAGGCGACGAUCAGUAGGGGUUCUGAGAGGAAGGUCCCCCACAUUGGAACUGAGACACGGUCCAAACUCCUACGGGAGGCAGCAGUGAGGAAUAUUGGUCAAUGGGCGAGAGCCUGAACCAGCCAAGUAGCGUGCAGGAUGACGGCCCUAUGGGUUGUAAACUGCUUUUAUGCGGGGAUAAAGUGAGCCACGUGUGGCUUAUUGCAGGUACCGCAUGAAUAAGGACCGGCUAAUUCCGUGCCAGCAGCCGCGGUAAUACGGAAGGUCCGGGCGUUAUCCGGAUUUAUUGGGUUUAAAGGGAGCGUAGGCCGUCUGGUAAGCGUGUUGUGAAAUGUCGGGGCUCAACCUGGGCAUUGCAGCGCGAACUGUCAGACUUGAGUGCGCGGGAAGUAGGCGGAAUUCGUCGUGUAGCGGUGAAAUGCUUAGAUAUGACGAAGAACUCCGAUUGCGAAGGCAGCCUGCUGUAGCGCAACUGACGCUGAAGCUCGAAAGCGUGGGUAUCGAACAGGAUUAGAUACCCUGGUAGUCCACGCGGUAAACGAUGGAUGCUCGCUGUUUGCGUCUGACGUAAGCGGCCAAGCGAAAGCGUUAAGCACCCCACCUGGGGAGUACGCCGGCAACGGUGAAACUCAAAGGAAUUGACGGAAGG
rnacentral:rRNA from 1 species